UACGUAGGGUGCAAGCGUUAAUCGGAAUUACUGGGCGUAAAGCGUGCGCAGGCGGUUAUGCAAGACAGAUGUGAAAUCCCCGGGCUCAACCUGGGAACUGCAUUUGUGACUGCAUGGCUAGAGUGCGGCAGAGGGGGAUGGAAUUCCGCGUGUAGCAGUGAAAUGCGUAGAUAUGCGGAGGAACACCGAUGGCGAAGGCAAUCCUCUGGGCCUGCACUGACGCUCAUGCACGAAAGCGUGGGGAGCAAACAGG
rnacentral:rRNA from 1 species